CUCUUAUAAUGGUACAUACGCAUCCUCCCCUACUGGGAGGGAAGUAGAGCACAUUCAGCAUUAUCCGGCACGUGAAGUUCCAGUGCCUUCGGCCGUGCUAUAUCUUCUCGGUUGAGACGAGAACGUUUCUAGAAGAGCUGGAUUAGAAUUGCGGAUAUAAAAUUCUCCUCGACAAAUAUAUAUAUAUAUAUAUAUAUAUAUAC